rnacentral:rRNA from 1 species
GAUGAACGCUAGCGAUAGGCCUAACACAUGCAAGUCGAGGGGCAUCACAUGAAGUAGCAAUACGGAUGGUGGCGACCGGCGCACGGGUGAGUAACACGUAUGCAACCUGCCUUCAACAAGGGGAUAACCCGUUGAAAGACGGACUAAUACCCUAUAACACAGGGGUCCCGCAUGGGAAUAUUUGUUAAAGGACAACCGGUUGAAGAUGGGCAUGCGUUCCAUUAGCUAGUUGGCGGGUAACGGCCCACAAGGCAACGAUGGAUAGGGGAACUGAGAGGUUUAUCCCCCACACUGGUACUGAGACACGGACCAGACUCCUACGGGAGGCAGCAGUGAGGAAUAUUGGUCAAUGGACGCAAGUCUGAACCAGCCACGUCGCGUGAAGGAAGACGGCCCUACGGGUUGUAAACUUCUUUUAUACGGGAAUAAAGUGCCCCACGCGUGGGGUUUUGCAUGUACCGUAU